AAGGACUGUCUAUAGUUUGAACUAUAAAAGUACGCGAUAACUGGUGCUGAGCGAAAUGGCAUCACUGCAGCGAUUGCCUUCCCUCUCUCGCAUUGAACUGUCAUUCAGAUAAACAAAAACGAGAGAAGUGAAUGGAUUAAACAAUUUGCUUGACUAACAGAAAUUCGAGGAAUAAAAUAAUGGGUUGAUUUUAAGGAUAAUAGUACCAUGUACUAUUCCUACGCAAUAGUCCGGAAUAAGUUCCAGUUGUGUUUCCUUGUGUAUAGAACCCGCGAUUAAGUGUGUGUCAAUAGCAACUUGAGUACGCCCCAGUUGUGGAAAAGCUUCUGUUGCUAUGGCUCCAAUUACCGAACCUCAAAUUUGCCGGAGUAAAACCCGUAUCUGUAUUCAACGAUUGUAUUAAACACACUCUUCGCUAAUGCUAUCAACAUCCAGGAUAUGAACAGGAAUAAAUAGGAAUGUUCAGGUAAAACUCACUUGCACAAUUUAUAAUAAUCAAUACAUUUAUGUCUACAUUUACUUUUUAGUGAAAAUUUGAUUCAUCCACACCGGUGAACCAAAA